GUGGCAAAUUACGCGGAACUUUCGGACGUCAGGAGAAUGCUUUGAUUUGAGAUUCCGAAAGUCAUUAUUACAAUUAUUAAUUAAAGAAAGCCCUAAGUUUGCGUGGAGCUCAGAGUUUAAUCUUCAACGCAAAUUCUCCAUCUCCCGAAGGUAAUCUCAUUCCCUGCUUCCAUCUCCCUCUUCCUACCCAUUCCUCCAAUCUACAAACUAUCCUCGAUUUCGGUCUGCUUUCAUUAUUCCCUUCCUACUAUCAUCACCAAUACAAAGUACCUAUUAGAUCUGCGUUUCGGUACUCUUCGCAUCUCUGCCUUUAGGAUUACCAAUUUCUUUCAAUCAGCUCUCACUAUGUUUCUUUCGAGGCACACCCAAGUUUUAUUCAAGUUUCAGUUGUUGGUUACGGAUCAGUUGUUCAAAUACUGGAAUGUCUUUUACCAAUUCAAUCCGAUUCCAUAUCAAGUGAUUUUGGUUGGUUAUAUGCGGAAUAUGUUUGCCUAGAUGGGGGGUUUAUGCUUCUUUUGUUUUCUUCCUUUUAAUUUUAUCAUCAUUUUUGUCUUCUUUGUUCAUUUUAUGGGAUGAAUUGACAAGUUUUUGCGUGGAUACCAGAUUGUGUUUGGUUACUCUUGGAUUUAAUAACAUUAUGCCCGAAAGUUCUCUGUGAUAUAGGGUUCAUUGUUUUAGGUUUUCCCUGAUCCAAUCUUGACGCGUGGAUCGUCUGAACUUUUGUGGUUAAAGUUUGAACAUGAGAGCUUCUAAUAUGUUAGGAUGGGCAUGCAAGAUUUAAGAUUUGGAUGCUGGUUUUAUGAUAUUUUCGCGAUGGAACUGUGCUGCAUCGCUAAUUUCUUUAGUUUUCGCUUGCAGAUUAAUUGGUUAUUAUGACAGACGUGUCGUCUGCUAUCUUGCACAUUGAAUCUUUUUGAAGAAUACUAAUGUGUUAGUAUCCAUACGCUGCAGAUUUCGGAAGUUACUUCUCAGAAGUUAGUAAGAAUUUGUGUUGGAUUAAACUGAUAAAAGAUCAAGAAACUGUGUUGAGCCUCUGAGGUCUUGGAAUAAUGACCCUUAUUGAAAGUGAAGAGGUUCGUUUUAAACGCACUGGGUUGUCAGCUAGUGAUUAUGAUGCAAGUCUUCCUAUCAAGAAAAGGAGAUUUCCGGUAGUGCAGUUUCCUCCAUCUCCGUCUAAAGAUUUACCCUCAUUCCAUUCAGAUGGAAAUUUAUUGAAGGCCGAGCAGCUAUCUCCUCCUAAAGUAUCUUCUUCUAAUUGCAAUGAAAGUUUAAUAAAGACUGAGCAGCCAUCUUCUCCUAAAGAACCAUCUUCUUUUAAUAGCAAUGAAAGUUUAUUAAAGACGAAGCAGCCAUCUCCUUCUAAAGAUCUAUCUUCUUUUAAUCACAAUGAAAAUUUAAUAAAGACUGAGCAGCCGAUUCUAUCUAUGUCAAUAGUUUCAAGUUCUAGUGUUGUCACAAGUUCUGCAUUGUUGAAUAAUGACCAGAACAAUGUUUCUGAGGAGAAGAAAGGAAAAUCUGACACUGAUUCAUGUUGUGAGGAUAUAGUCCAGAGCGAUAUUGGCACUGCAGGAGUCAAGUUUCAAGAACCCACUUUGGGAGGACAUGAUUAUAUUAGUUGUUUUGAUGAAUAUGAAGGUAAAUCCUUGGUAACUGUAAAACACACCAUUCGUAAAUCGCCAGAGAUCUAUGGGGGGUCAAACCGAUCGUCAACUAGCCUUUACUCUGAUCCUCUUGCUGGUAACAAAGAGGAAGGAAUUGAUGUAAAAAUGCCUGAAGAAAAUUGCAGCCCUCCAAUAUGUGAAGUUGGAGGAGGAGCUGGAGUAUCGGUAGGUUUGAACUGUCAUAUGGAUCUGAAAUUAGUUCCUGAAAAGAGUGAUUUGAAUUUCCUGAAGCAGAAUUCUGUGGAACCUGUUUUACUGGACCUCUCUUUAAACAAGCAUGGAAGUAGCACCCAAUGUGUCAAAGAUAACGUGGGGUCUGAUUGUGAUGGUCCUCUUUUGCAGUUGAACAGGGAAAAGUGGGAUCUUAAUACCUCAAUGGAAUCAUGGGAGGGUUGUACUGGUGGUGAUUCACCUGUAGUGCAGAUGUCUGCCACUCAGACAAAUACAACUAUUGAAACUCAUGCUUGCCCAUCUGAAAUGGUUGAAAGUGACAGUCCAUGCGGAAAACAAACACUUUUAGAUGGUGAAGAUAAAGGCAACUCUAUUUAUGAUUGCAUGCCAUCAAAAGAAAAUCUUGAUUUAAGUCUUGAUUCAUCUUAUCUGAAGCCUGUGCAGCCUGUGCUUGAAGAAGACCCUUAUAUUUCUGAAUAUGAAUCAGAUGGAAACUGGGAUAUAGCUGAGGCUGUUGAUGAUGAUGAUAAUGAUAAUCAUUUAGAAGAAGACUAUGAAGAUGGGGAGGUUCGGGAAACAUUGCAGGAAUCUGAAGUAGAAGUCCUUGCAUAUGAGAAAAGAGAAAUUGAGCCUUUGGAUCAUGCUGGUUGUGAUGACAAAAAGAUCAAUUCCAUUAGAUUGCCGGAUCAUGAACUUCAUGCUUUAGGCCCUCUUGAACAGGAAACUAAACCAGAAAAUCUGGAUCUUAGAAGCGAAGACGAUGUUCGGACUACAACUAAUAGUAAAUCUUAUGAGCAAGAAAAUGAAGAUCUUUGUGUGAAAGAAUUGCAUGCUGUAGAGAAUACUAUUAGUGGGGAUGUAAACAAAGCUGUGAAGGUCACAGGAAGAGGCCAAUUAUUUCAGUUUGAUAAAAAGCACAACUUUGAGGCACAGGACACUGCUGAUGAAAUGGUUGAUGAGGAACUAAUUCCUACAUUUUCUCAGGGUGAGGUGGAGAAUGCUGUAGCAGUAGAUGUAGUGCAGAAUAGGGAUCUAACUUUGCCUACUGUAAAGGAAUCUGUAAACGAAGAUGAUGCAAAGGAUAUCAAUGGAGGCACUAGAAAUAGUCGGAUAAUUAAUUUUAAUAGAGCAUCUAUUGAUUCAACUCCCUGUAAGGAAAAAUCUAGUUUUUCCAGGUCGGUUUUAUCACAUAAGGAAAGAGAGUUUGUACCCAACAUGGCAGUUGAAGGAGCAAAUAUGCAACCUCAAGAAAGAGAUGACGCUUACAGUAAUAUUACCAAGAAAAUUUCUAUAGACAAACGCGAGGGUCAGCCACCGUUGAUGGGUUUUAGUCAUAGAAGAGGGAGAAGUAGCAAUAGGCUGGACCACCGAUCCGAGGAAUGGGAUUUUGGUCCUAACUUUUCUCCCGAAACAUACAGUGAACAACAGAUAGAUUACCAUGUUCCUGGUCUUGAUCAAAAUCGAUAUAAGAUUACACCAGACGGUCCAUUUGGUGGUGCUAACCGACGUGGUAGAGAAUUGCUAGAGGACGAGGAACCUUUUUUUUUUCAUGGGCCGUCAAGGAGGAAGUCACUUGGAAGAAGACAUGGUCCGAAUGUAGGUGGUGGAAAAAUGGUUUACAAAAUACCUAGAGAUUUUAGUCCAGGUAGAUGCAUGGAUGAAGGUGGCUCUUUUGAUCGACAACAUGGUGAAAAGUUCUCUAGGAAUUUUGCCGAUGACACAGUGGAUCUGAUGUAUCCACGACCUCAACCUCCAUACGACAUAGACAAACCUUUCUUCCGGGAAAGAAGGAACUUCUCAUUCCAAAGAAAAUCAUUUCCAAGAAUUGAUUCUAAAUCUCCAGUAAGAUCCCGGGCUCGCUCCCCAGGCCAAUGGUUCUCUUCAAAAAGAUCUGAUAGAUUUUGUGAACGUUCUGACAUGACACAUCGAAGGUCUCCAAAUUAUAGGUCGGAAAGGAUGAGAUCUCCUGAUCAACGUCCUAUACGUGGGCAUAUGCCACCAGGCAGAAGACAAGGAUUCCAUUUCCUUUCAGCAUCUGAUGAAAUGAGGGAUGUGGGUCCUGCACCUGACCAUGGCCAUAUGAGGUCUAUUAUCCCUGAUAGGAAUCAGACUGAAAGAUUACCACUUAGAAAUAGAAGCUAUGAUGCUAUAGAUCCUCAAGGAAGGAUUGAAAACGAUGAUUUUUUUUAUGGUCCUCCUGUACGCUUGGGUCAAUUGACUGGGUACAAUGAUGGCGUACCAGAUGACGACGAAAGAAGAUUCAAUGAGAGACAUGAACCGCUUUAUUCUUUUAAGCAUCCAUUUGGUGAUUCUGAUGGUGAGAGAUUCCGAAACAAUAGGGAGGAUUGUUCUAGGCCUUUUAGAUUUUGUCCAGGGAAUGACCCAAGAAUUUCAUGGAAGAGAAGGUAGCUGUUGGGGAGAAAGAUUGAGUUAAAGACCUCUACCAAGGGAGAGGAUUGCUUUAGAGUGUUUUUGGUAGUGAUUUUGGCAUACAAUUUUUCUCCAGCCAAAAUCACUUUUACACACAAAUAUGAUGUUUGGCAACCUAAUAAAAGUCAUUUUAGAAAAAUAUGAAAUCACUCAAAAUUGAUUUGGGAAGUAUCAGCUGGCUAGUGAUUGUGGAGGGUGAUUAACCGGGAAUCACCAUUCUUAUUUUCUAUAGUUUUUAGAAUACUCAAAAUACCCCUUCAUUUAAUAAUUUGAAACUCCAUCCUCUCUAGUCCAGCUACUUCAACUGCCUCUCAACCCGCUCCCGCCAUCUCAUCGUUCUGAACUAUCGUCUCUUCAAAGAUUUGUGAGGCAUCAGUUAGCUGUCCUCUCUCCCUCGUGAUUGCUCCUCAAUCUUGCAGGUUUAGAAGUUGAGCAUCGUUGACAAUUAAGUGAAUAUGCUUUCAUUGUUAAAGAGGUUCAAAGCUAAAUGCCUUCCUCCAAACACUAUAUAUAACUUGGAGAUGGAGUGAUUCAAAAGGAUGUUGCUGAUACAAUUGGAAUUCUGUUUCUGGAAACUAUUUUUGAAACAAUUUUCGGAUCCCAAACAGUUCAAAUUCUAACAACUUUUUUUUUUUUUA